rnacentral:piRNA from 1 species
UCAGAGGAUGGUGCAUUAGUGAAUUCCUA